GGUGAAGGAAGAGUGGGUUUGACAUGUCUGAGAGAGUUACUCUGCUUGAGGAAGCCAUUUAGAGAAGAGUUUUUUGAAGAAGAGAUUUGAUAGGAGAAAAGAAAGUAGAUCUGGAGAAAAGAUGUACAGAAUAAGAAGAUUGGUUUUGGUUCAAGAGCAACCUCGCUCUGAUACCAUGAUGACAAGUAUUCUAGGAUCGUGUGAUAUAAAGAAAUGACUGAUUCAUGAAGCACAAAACAUAUCAGAGAUUCAAGUUUUCACCAAAGAGUGAUAUUCAUUAUACUUGUCUGCAUAACACACUGAAUAACAAGCACCUUAUAGAUGAGUGCUUUACUACAUGACAAAAGACAAUAACGGUAAAUGAUCCUGACCAUACAUUACUAACAGAUAUAGUACUAGGCUGUUGGACAAAAUGCAGCAAAUGUUCUAACAGAAAUAGAAAGGGACAAAAGUAAAUAUGCCAAAAUAUUUGAUUAAUAAGUGUCCCUUCAAUACGUAUCCGGUUCGUAUUAAAUUAGAUGAGCGGUUGAUUUUCAGUUUAAAAUAUAGUACCCUCUUUAUUUGUUUAUAAUAAUAGACGUUUUUGACCAUUUUACAUAUCAAAGAAUGAGUUAAUGUUGCUGCAUAAUUACAAAACGGGCCUUAUCAUUUAUACAUUAAACAUGAAUAGAAAUAAAACAGAGAUCGUUCGGUU
rnacentral:lncRNA from 1 species